rnacentral:rRNA from 1 species
GAUGAACGCUGGCGGCGUGCUUAACACAUGCAAGUCGAACGAAGCACCUUAUUCUGAUUUCUUCGGAAUGAAAAAUUUGGUGACUGAGUGGCGGACGGGUGAGUAACGCGUGGGUAACCUGCCUCAUACAGGGGGAUAACAGUUAGAAAUGACUGCUAAUACCGCAUAAGACCACAGCACCGCAUGGUGCAGGGGUAAAAACUCCGGUGGUAUGAGAUGGACCCGCGUCUGAUUAGGUAGUUGGUGGGGUAACGGCCUACCAAGCCGACGAUCAGUAGCCGACCUGAGAGGGUGACCGGCCACAUUGGGACUGAGACACGGCCCAAACUCCUACGGGAGGCAGCAGUGGGGAAUAUUGCACAAUGGGGGAAACCCUGAUGCAGCGACGCCGCGUGAGCGAUGAAGUAUUUCGGUAUGUAAAGCUCUAUCAGCAGGGAAGAAAAUGACGGUACCUGACUAAGAAGCACCGGCUAAAUACGUGCCAGCAGCCGCGGUAAUACGUAUGGUGCAAGCGUUAUCCGGAUUUACUGGGUGUAAAGGGAGCGUAGACGGAGUGGCAAGUCUGAUGUGAAAACCCGGGGCUCAACCCCGGGACUGCAUUGGAAACUGUCAAUCUAGAGUACCGGAGAGGUAAGCGGAAUUCCUAGUGUAGCGGUGAAAUGCAUAGAUAUUAGGAGGAACACCAGUGGCGAAGGCGGCUUACUGGACGGUAAC